rnacentral:misc_RNA from 1 species
GGAAGAUUUGAAGAUGAAGAAUUACAACAACUACUGGAAGAUAUAAAGACCAAGAGAAGUUUCCAGUAUUGAGGAAGAUUACUUUUCGUUUGGAUUAUGAAUGAUUUCCGACAGGCAGCAGAUAUAGACACUGAUCAUGUGACAUUGAUAUUCCGACUUGCUUUAGAAGCCUCUUUGAACUUAUUUGGAUUCCUCAUGUCACACCUGUAUGCUGAUCACUGUAGGCUUCCAUUGCAGACACUCAGGUUGUCAGGAAAUAUAAAGGGGAGGCAUGUACAAUUGUAAAGAAAUUAUAAUUUUGGGGGGCAUAAAUCAUGAAUAUGAAACAGUUCUUUUUGAACACGUUAUUUUCAUUUGUUCAAUCAACCAUGAGCAAUGGUCUGAUGAUCGUACUUUAUUAAACAUGUACUUUAAUAAAUAUGUAAAUUU